UCCAUUUCUGCAACAAUAGUUUUUAUUUAAAUUGUUUAGGAUCGAAGUGGUGAUAUUAAAUUAUUUGGAUAGAAGUUAUAAAGCAGGUUGUUAACUAUGAAGUGUUUUUUUAAUUUGUUGCUAUUUUUUUAACAAACUUGAAUUGAAUUUGUAGUUUGUGGAUUUUAUGUGCAAAUGAGUAACUUGACGAAGGAGAAGUUUGUGCAUAUUUUGCCGUGACAGAGCAUUGGUUUUCCAAGGGAAAGCUCCAAAUACAGGGGAUUCAAUAUGGGUUAAAUCUGUAUUGCUAGAGGGUAGUCUUAUUCUGUAUCAAUGAUUUGAAUUUGGGCUUUAGAUCUCUUUGUAGUUCUUUUUUCCCUUUUGUUAAGUAUGUGCUCAAUGAGAUACUGGGGCGGCAAGGUCAAGGCAUUUAUCUAAAUUGUUAGAUAUUAUGUAAAUUGCUAGAUAUUUUCAUUUGGGCAUCUUUCAUAUUAUGUAAAUUGCUAGAUAUUUUCAGUUUUUAUAUGGCAAGGUCAAGGCAUUUAUCUAUCUUUGUUGCUUCUUCAGAAUAGUUUCUACCGGUAUUAGUGGUGCAAGCUACUACACUGGAACUUUCAAUACUGUCAAUCGCUCUCCGGAUGGAAGCCAUUCUGGCUGCCACGUAAUAGAGCAGUUGCCAGAAGAAUCUAGAACAUGCGAUGGAGAGCUGAUGGUGGUCUGUGAUAGACUAUUCAAUUUUUGUGAUCUUGAAACUAAAUUUCUUUGCGUUGCUCUAUUUUUCCUUUUUUUUUGCUAAAUCAUGUUCACAUAUUGGCUGAUAUUAAUGUAGUGUUGCAGUCUUUGAUAUGUCGAAUUGGUUGCCUUGAGCAGCCAGUGUUAACAUGAAUACAUAGGAAAUGAUCCUGGAAAGAAAUUUUUGCUUGAUGGAGAGGUCACUAUUGACACAAUGACAGAUGAUGUGGAAUUCACAGGUUAGAUUUUGGAAAUCCAAAGGAAUGUCGAUAACUAAUCACUUACUAAUUUGAAGUUUUUUUUUAAAAUAGUGUUGAUUGAAACUCAUUAAAAUGUGUACAUUUUUUGUUGCGGAGCUGCCUUUUCUUAUUUUAAAAACUUAUCAUCUAGACUAUGACAGAUAGUUGGAUAGAGAAUGCUGUCAAUGGGCUGAUGGGCAAGCAGAACAUGAUUCUGACCGGAUUGAGUUCUUGAAGCUCUCUAACAGAAUAGAGUACACAAUUCGAACUUGGUAUCUUCUAUAAUUUGAGGAGUUGAUGGUAUCAUCUAUUUUUUGAUUUGUCUGACAUAAUCAUAGUUGUUUUUAAGUUGUUGUAGAUCUUUUAUGUAAUUUAUUUUUUGAAUUCUGUUAUGGAGUUCAGAUUAUAUAUAUAUAUUUUUUUAUUUACAUG